rnacentral:lncRNA from 1 species
CAAUGUGGAUGUGGAUGAUUACGAUCCUAUUGAUCCAGUUCCAAGCUCCAAAGCAUCCAUAAAACCUGGUCCUAUUGAGCAUGGUACUCCUCUUAUUCCCUACAUCCCAAAACCCUCACCUCCAGAUCAUCCCAAAAUUGGUGGUUCCACUUAGCCAUCCAAAAAAAUCUUCUGAAGAACAUGCCAAUGUAAUAUCUGUAUCGUACCUCAUGUUUUAACCAGCUUUGUUCUCUGAAUCCCGUCUAUUCAAUAACUUCAAGUUGCC